GUAAAAAUAUGCAUUUGACAAGACGGUAAUCCCAUAAAUGUACGCGCCACACACAGUGGAAGGUAAACAUAAGAUUAGUAUUUCACACAUAUUUAAUCGAAAACGUUAUGCGCGGCGGUUAAAAAAAUUCCCUAAUUAUAUCAGGAUCUAUGUACUGUACUACUGCAGUAGUAUUACUACUUCCUCUACUACGCAGUAUUUCCAUGUACUGCACUGCCUUUGUCUUCAGUGACUGUGUUUACAGUUUGUCGUUGAGCUCAACCUGAGGUGAGGCUCCUCUAAACUAUCGCACAGUAAAUAUCACGUGUAUUUGAACAUGUAUUGAAAUGCAGUUUGCAUCACUCAUUGGCUCCAGCAGCUGGAGGCUAGUAGUAGGUAGGAGGAGGGGGGAUGAGACAGCGGGAGGGGGAUGCAAGGUUGACUGCAAACCUUUUUUUCUCUCUCUGUUUUUGCAUGGGGGAGUUUAAAACGAGCAGAGAUCGUCGCUGAGUGAGUGAAAAAAAAAAGAAAAAAGUUUGGCUCCAACUUUGAGUUCGUCCUGUGCAGAAAAGCAGCAGCACUUGGUGUGUCAACGUGCUUUUUACUCUUCCCAGAUUGUUCACCACCAUGCCACCCAAGAGAGACGCAGGUGCGACUCCAGCACAGCCGCCCGUGAAGAUGAUAAAGAUCGAUAACGUUACAGAUGCACAAGAGUUUGGCUGUCAUUCAGGCGAGGAUAAGUUCAGGCUCCAUGAAGAGGCCAGCUACUCACCUUAUCCCAACAAUGACAGAUGAACACUCUCAUGAUGCAGAUGAGGCACACGGCACAUGAACUGCGGGUCACCCUGGAUCAUGUUCUCCACGGAGGCGAAGCAGCAGUUGCGCCACAAAACUCUGAUGAAACUAUCUCUUUCCUGACUGAGCCUGAGGCAGAAAUGAGAGCACUUCAUAAUAUACCAGAGGAUGACCACAAUUUCCUCUAUCUCUCAGAGAAUCUUCGAGUGCCAAAAAAUCUUUAUGAGCGCAUUGCAGAAAUUGCAGACUACAAGAAGUACACUUCAGCCCUGCUCAUGAUACUUUUUGAUAGAGAAACGCUGGCAACCCACUCUCUGCAGGGCCGUAGGAAUACCUUUACAGGAGAGGAUUGCCACAAGCCACAGCUCCCACCUGAGAUUUUGAAAAGUUUAAUCGAUCAUGUGGCAGCCAAGUUCAGUGUUGACAGCAGCCAAAUAAAAACCGCAAUCCGCACAAAGUUGAACAAUGAGGAUAAAUUAUUGAAGAAGAGACUGGGGUUGGGUAAAACAGAAAACAGAGCUAAUGCUGAGCCAAGCUUUUGCCAAGAUGCCUCGCUUCUGCCCGACGACGGAGCAAUGACAAGUGACUCUCAGUUAUAGUCGUUCACCUCUGUCUUCGUCCGUUGGUCACACGUAUUUCAUGUCCGAUAGAAAUAGGUCACAGAUUGCCUUUUUUGUCCACUAUAGUUCAUUCAGCAUUAAAAUCUAGUUCUUUAUUUUUUAAGAAUGAUAAGUAUAUAUAUUUUUACGUUGACAGCAGUUAAUGUCUGUUAGAUUGUUUUCAGAGUGUCACCUGGUGGCCACACCCAGGCGUUUGAUAGCACUAUAAACUGCCGCAUAUGUAAUCAUUAAUACUGUAAACAAGUGUUCUUAGGUUUUCUUACUGUAUUUAAGAGAGUGGUUAUAGGUUAAUAACCUUUUAAGCUAGAAUCAGUCAGUCAGCUGACCUUUACAUGUGUAAGUAGGACAGGGAUCUCAUUUUUGCCCUGUUGUUCAUUCCAACUUGUGCAUUGCAGGUAAUAAUGUGUUUCAAGGUAUACUGUAUGUGAUAACUGUUUCAAAGUGUUUGUCAUGUGUUUUCUGUGCUUCACUCUAACAAACAAUAAAGUUUUGCAGCUGA
ensembl:lncRNA